CUUGGUUCAGGAUGAACGCUAGCUACAGGCUUAACACAUGCAAGUCGAGGGGCAGCAGGGCAAUAGCUGCUAUUGCUGCUGGCGACCGGCGCACGGGUGAGUAACGCGUAUCCAACCUACCCCGCGGUCAGGGACAGCCCGGCGAAAGUCGGAUUAAUACCUGAUGUUGUCAGAAGAGGGCAUCUGAUUUUGACGAAGAUUCAUCGCCUCGGGAUGGGGAUGCGUAGGAUUAGGCAGGCGGCGGGGUAACGGCCCACCGCGCCGACGAUCCUUAGGGGUUCUGAGAGGAAGGUCCCCCACACUGGUACUGAGACACGGACCAGACUCCUACGGGAGGCAGCAGUGAGGAAUAUUGGUCAAUGGGCGCGAGCCUGAACCAGCCAAGUAGCGUUGCAGGACGACGGCCCUAUGGGUUGUAAACUGCUUUUAUGCGGGGAUAAAGUGCGGCACGUGUGCCGUUUUGUAGGUACCGCAUGAAUAAGGACCGGCUAAUUCCGUGCCAGCCGCUGC
rnacentral:rRNA from 1 species